rnacentral:lncRNA from 1 species
GUCUUUUGUUCGAGCCUGUAUAUUGACCUCUAGAUAUCUUUCAAUUACAUCCAGUUUGGUGUGUGUUGAUGUUUGAUAGUUGAAAAUAUAAGGAAAUAGUAACCAAAUAAGGAAAUGAAAAUUUAAUAAGGAAAAAGAAAUCAAAUAAGGAAACAGAAACCGAAUAAGGAAAAAGAAACCGAAUAAGGAAAUAGAAACCGAAUAAGGAAAUAAAAACCGAAUAAGGAAAUAGAAACCGAAUAAGGAAACAGAAAUCGAAUAAGGAAAUGGAAAGCGAAUAAGGAAAUGAAAAUCGAAUAAGGAAAUAGAAACCGAAUAAGGAAAUAAAAACCGAAAAAGGAAAUGAACAUUGAAAAAGGAAAAAGAAACCAAAUAAGGAAAUGAAAAUCGAAUAAGGAAAUGGAAAUCGAAUAAGGAAA